rnacentral:rRNA from 1 species
AACGAACGCUGGCGGCAUGCCUAACACAUGCAAGUCGAACGAGACCUUCGGGCUUAGUGGCGCACGGGUGCGUAACGCGUGGGAACCUGCCCUUAGGUACGGUAUAACUCCCCUAAAGGGGUGCUAAUACCGGAUAAUGUCUUCGGACCAAAGAUUUACCGCCUUUGGAUGGGCCCGCGUUGGAUUAGCUAGUUGGUAGGGUACAAGCCGACUAAGGCGACGAUCCAUAGCUGGUCUGAGAGGAUGAUCAGCCACACUGGGACUGGGACACGGCCCAGACUGCUACGAGAGGCAGCAGUGGGGAAUAUUGGACAAUGAGCGAAAGCCUGAUCCGGCAAGGCCGGGUGAAUGAUGAAGGCCUUAGGGUUGUAAAGCUCUUUUACCCGGGAUGAUAAUGACAGUACCGGGAGAAUAGGCUCCGGCAAACUCCGU